ACACAAUCUUAAAAUCUCCCCAUUUUAGAAAUGUCUUUCCAAGUAUUUCUUUUGUGUUUUCUUAACCUAUAAAACAUAAUGGAAUAUAUUUUAUGGAGUGUAUUUUAUCUCAUCCCCUUUCUCCCUCCGGACUGCACUCAGUUUAAGAGUUGUCAGUUUUUCCUCAGAGUUCAAUUUAAUUAUAUGGGACCAAAAUAUCCAUCAGUUAAUUAGCUUGCUAAAUAUUCUGUCACUUUUGUGAUUUCCCUUUGAGAAAUAGCUUAAUUACAGAAAUCUACCU
rfam:Tupaia chinensis contig6386, whole genome shotgun sequence.